GACGAACGCUGGCGGCGUGCUUAACACAUGCAAGUCGAACGAGAAUCUAUGGAAAGAGGAUUCGUCCAAUUGAAAUAGAGGACAGUGGCGGACGGGUGAGUAACGCGUGAGGAACCUGCCUUUCAGAGGGGGACAACAGUUGGAAACGACUGCUAAUACCGCAUAACAUAUAGGGGUCGCAUGGCUCUUAUGUCAAAGAUUUAUCGCUGAAAGAUGGCCUCGCGUCUGAUUAGCUAGUUGGUGAGGUAACGGCCCACCAAGGCGACGAUCAGUAGCCGGACUGAGAGGUUGAACGGCCACAUUGGGACUGAGAUACGGCCCAGACUCCUACGGGAGGCAGCAGUGGGGAAUAUUGCACAAUGGGGGAAACCCUGAUGCAGCGACGCCGCGUGGAGGAAGAAGGUCUUCGGAUUGUAAACUCCUGUUGUUGAGGAAGAUAAUGACGGUACUCAACAAGGAAGUGACGGCUAACUACGUGCCAGCAGCCG
rnacentral:rRNA from 1 species